GAUACGACCUGACCUGGCUUGUGUUUCCAUCCCUGUUCCCUCACCUGAGCCUCCUCCGCUUUUGCAGGUGGCACCCGGGAGAUCGGCUCAGCGCUCACCAGAAUGUGUAUGCGCCACAGAAGCAUCGAGGCCAAGCUGAGGCAGUUCUCCAGUGCUUUGAUUGACUGCCUGAUAAACCCCCUUCAAGAGCAAAUGGAAGAG